rnacentral:tRNA from 1 species
GUUGUCGUGGCCAAGUGGUUAAGGCAAUGGACAAGAACUCUAUUGGGAUCUUUCCGCGCAGGUUCGAAUCCUGCCGACAUCG